GUACAGUGGACCAGGACAGGGGACCAGGACAGGGGUACAGGGGACCAGGACAGGGGUACAGGGGACCAGGACAGGGGGACAGGGGACCAGGACAGGGGACAGGGGCACAGGGGACCAGGACAGGGGUACAGGGGACCAGGACAGGGGUACAGGGGACCAGGACAGGGGUCUUGGGUCAAACUGUAUAUAUAUAUAUAUAUGAGAUAUAUAACAGGUUAUGACGCUGGGUGUCAAGUAAAGUGGUAACCAAUAUUCUUGGUUCUGGAAAAUAUAUUUCACAGCGGUUUUGAGAAUUGUACCAUCUUAUUUUGUUACAAAAUGAAAUUAGACAAACUUAGUUUUAGCAACCAGGAAAUGGAGGAGCAAUUUCUGCAAAGUGCAACUUUAUUUAUUUAACUAUUGGGCCAAUAAAGGUGUACAUAAUUUUAUAAAUUAUCUCUCUCUCUCUAUCUCUCCCUCCUGUUUAACCUCUCCUCUCUGUCCUCUCCCUCUCUCUCUCUGUCUCUCCCUCCUGUUUAACCUCUCCUCUCUGUCCUCUCCCCAG
ensembl:lncRNA